UACGUAGGUGGCAAGCGUUAUCCGGAUUUAUUGGGCGUAAAGCGAGCGCAGGCGGUUUUCUAAGUCUGAUGUGAAAGCCUUCGGCUUAACCGAAGAAGUGCAUCGGAAACUGGAUGACUUGAGUGCAGAAGAGGGCAGUGGAACUCCAUGUGUAGCGGUGGAAUGCGUAGAUAUAUGGAAGAACACCAGUGGCGAAGGCGGCUGCCUGGUCUGCAACUGACGCUGAGGCUCGAAAGCAUGGGUAGCGAACAGG
rnacentral:rRNA from 1 species